CCCCUAGACGUUCUGGGCUGCACGCGCGCUACAAUAAUACGCACAGCGAGUAUCACCGAGCUCGAAAGGGCAAGGUAAACAAUAGAAAAGGUACUGUAAUGGUUAUAGAUCCUUGUAAUUAUUGAUCUUCAACGAGGAAUUCCUAGUAAGUACGUGUCAUCAUCACGCACUGAUUACGUCCCUGCCCUUUGUACACACCGCCCGUCGCUCCUACCGAUUGAACGGUUUAGUGAGGGCCUCGGAUUGGUCUCGGCCCGCUCUUUACCGGGCGGCGCCGUUGGUCGAGAAGACGCUCGAACUUGAUCGUUUAGAGGAAGUAAAAGUCGUAACA
rnacentral:rRNA from 1 species